GACGAACGCUGGCGGCGUGCUUAACACAUGCAAGUCGAACGCUGAAGCCCUUUCGGGGGUGGAUGAGUGGCGAACGGGUGAGUAACACGUGGGUAAUCUGCCCUGCACUCUGGGAUAAGCCUUGGAAACGGGGUCUAAUACCGGAUAGGACACAUCGCCGCAUGGUGUGUGUGUGGAAAGUUCCGGCGGUGCAGGUCGAGCCCGCGGCCUAUCAGCUUGUUGGUGGGGUGAUGGCCUACCAAGGCGACGACGGGUAGCCGGCCUGAGAGGGUGACCGGCAACACUGGGACUGAGACACGGACCAGACUCCUACGGGAGGCAGCAGUGGGGAAUCUUGCGCAAUGGGCGAAAGCCUGACGCAGCAACGCCGCGUGGGGGAUGACGGCCUUCGGGUUGUAAACCUCUUUCGACCGGGACGAAGGGUGACUGACGGUACCGGUAGAAGAAGCACCGGCUAACUACGUGCCAGCCGCCGCAGUAA
rnacentral:rRNA from 1 species